GGACUACCAGGGUAUCUAAUCCUGUUUGCUCCCCUAGCCUUCGCGCCUCAGCGUCAGUUUCAGCCCAGAUAGCCGCCUUCGCCACUGGUGUUCCUCCCGAUAUCUACGCAUUUCACCACUACACCGGGAAUUCCGCUAUCCUCUGCUGUACUCUAGUCUCCCAGUUUCAAAUGACCCCUCCCGGUUAAGCCGGGAUAUUUCACAUCUGACUUGAAAAACCGCCUGCGCGCUCUUUACGCCCAAUAAUUCCGGACAACGCUUGCAUCCUACGUAUUACCGCGGCUGCUGGCAC
rnacentral:rRNA from 1 species